UUUACCUUAGUUGGUGUUUUCAGUUGAUGAAUGACACUUGUUUCUGGCCUCCGUUUCCGCCCAAGUUGUAAUUAGAUUUUGCACGAGGCUCCUGUGAUUACGGAUCUGGGCCUUCCUCCCCUAUCGGACCUUUCAAAAGUCACUCGGCUUUCCGAACUUUCCCCAGUUUUCCUUCCUGUCGUCCUCACCAGCAAACCCCGGUGCCGAUGGGCCAGCAGGAGGCCCCCAUCACCGGCGGCCGUCACCUCCGGGGGUGUAGGGUUUGUGCUGGACAAAGCCACAUCCUGCUCCUGAUGGAACCCAUUAGGCUGGAGGGACGAAUGGCUUCCCAGAGAGAUGCGCUGAUCUGCCCGAGGGGAGCCGUGCUCUGCCCCAGAGCUCUGCGGAGGAGGAAGCAGCCUGGGUGCCUUGGAACUGAAAGAAUGCCCACGCAGCCGAGACAGCACCGCCAGUGAAUUCACGGUCCGGGAAAUAGAUGAACUGCACCGACCCAGAAAACUCGUAAGGAAGAGAUUCGGAAGUGGAAGAGGGAGAAACAUUGGUCCUUAAGAAACUAAGAGAAAUUUGAGGCCCCGGCGGCAUCGUCUAGAAACAUCUUUAUGGUCUCAGCGUGGACUUACUAAAAACCGUGCUGGGUUGGUGAGGACACAGCUGACGGGGGGUGUGGCCCUUGCCUGCCCCGGCAGAGCUCGAAACCCUGUUGGGGACAAUAGUGACAACCUAGGGCCAUGGAGAAGAGAAGGGAUGUGGAUUGUACUCCCUCCUCUGUCGCUAAUGAGUGCUGGGACCUUGGGCAAGUAAUCGCUCAGGGUCGGGGUCCUCACUACAAAUUAAGGGAGUUGAAACAAUCUCCUAAAGUUCCUUAGAGCCUUAAUCUUCAGAAUCUAAUUACCACCCCCAGUAGAUCUGUUGUAUCACCAAGCAAUAAAGGGAACGAUGUAGACAAAGGAUGCCGUUCAGAAAGCACCGUGUCACUGUGGACGGCUCGAGGGGGGACCACGGAGGAGCGGGGGCUCGCGCUGGAUGGUGGGGUGGGCAGGACACCCAGCAGGGAGGGAGCACAAGGGGUGUUUGGAGGAUGGGGAAGAGGCCAGGUGGGGGGAGGUGGGUAUUGAGAGAGAGCUUGGAAGGUUGGACCCAGAUGGGGAGGGUGUUGAACUCUGGCCUGAGUUCUAGAACUUGAGUUUGUGUGCUGACAGCUCAGAGCCUGGAGCCUGCUUCAGAGUCUGUCUCUCUCUCUCUGCCCCUCCCCCACUCAUGCUCCGUCUCUCUCCAUUUCUCAAAAAUGAAUAAAAACGUUAGAAAAACAAAUUAAGAAAAUGUUGUUGUUGUUGUUGUUGUUGUUGUGGUAGAACAUACAUA